rnacentral:rRNA from 1 species
AGUCACUGACAUUAGAUACCCCUGUAGUCCAGGGUGUAAACGCUGCAGACUUGGUGUUGGAGGCCCUUUGGGGGCGUUCAGUGCCGGAGAGAAGUUGUUAAGUCUGCUACUUGGGGAGUACGUCCGCAAGGAUGAAACUUAAAGGAAUUGGCGGGGGAGCACCGCAACGGGAGGAGCGUGCGGUUUAAUUGGAUUCAACACCGUAAACUCACCAGGGAAGACUGUUACAUGAAGGCCGAGAUGAAGACUCUGCUAGAUUUUCAG